rnacentral:rRNA from 1 species
GGCGGCCGCGGGAAUUCGAUUAGAGUUUGAUCAUGGCUCAGAUUGAACGCUGGCGGCAUGCCUUACACAUGCAAGUCGAACGGCAGCACGGGAGCAAUCCUGGUGGCGAGUGGCGAACGGGUGAGUAAUACAUCGGAACGUGUCCUGUAGUGGGGGAUAGCCCGGCGAAAGCCGGAUUAAUACCGUAUACGCUCUACGGAGGAAAGGGGGGGAUCUUCGGACCUCCCGCUACAGGGGCGGCCGAUGGCAGAUUAGCUAGUUGGUGGGGUAAAGGCCUACCAAGGCGACGAUCUGUAGCUGGUCUGAGAGGACGACCAGCCACACUGGGACUGAGACACGGCCCAGACUCCUACGGGAGGCAGCAGUGGGGAAUUUUGGACAAUGGGGGAAACCCUGAUCCAGCAAUGCCGCGUGUGUGAAGAGGGCCUUCGGGUUGUAAAGCACUUUUGUCCGGAAAGAAAACCUCGGCCCUAAUACGGUGGGGGGAUGACGGUACCGGAAGAAUAAGCACCGGCUAACUACGUGCCAGCAGCCGCGGUAAUACGUAGGGUGCAAGCGUUAAUCGGAAUUACUGGGCGUAAAGCGUGCGCAGGCGGUCCGCUAAGACAGAUGUGAAAUCCCCGGGCUUAACCUGGGAACUGCAUUUGUGACUGGCGGGCUAGAGUAUGGCAGAGGGGGGUAGAAUUCCACGUGUAGCAGUGAAAUGCGUAGAGAUGUGGAGGAAUACCGAUGGCGGAGGCAGCCCCCUGGGCCA